CCUACGGGAGGCAGCAGUGGGGAAUAUUGCGCAAUGGGCGAAAGCCUGACGCAGCGACGCCGCGUGAGGGAUGAAGGUCUUCGGAUCGUAAACCUCUGUCAGCAGGGAAGAACGGUCACUGUGCUAAUCAGCAGUGAAUUGACGGUACCUGCAAAGGAAGCACCGGCUAACUCCGUGCCAGCAGCUGCGGUAAUACGGAGGGUGCGAGCGUUAAUCGGAAUUACUGGGCGUAAAGCGCUCGUAGGCGGUAUGUCAAGUCAAGGGUGAAAUCCCCGCGCUCAACGUGGGAACUGCCUUUGAAACUGGCAAACUGGAGUGUGUGAGAGGAUAGUGGAAUUCCAGGUGUAGGAGUGAAAGCCGUAGAUAUCUGGAGGAACAUCAGUGGCGAAGGCGACUAUCUGGCACAUAACUGACGCUGAGGAGCGAAAGCGUGGGUAGCAAACAGGAUUAGAUACCCCAGUAGUC
rnacentral:rRNA from 1 species